GGGUUGUGAGGUUAAGCGACUAAGCGUACACGGUGGAUGCCCUGGCAGUCAGAGGCGAUGAAGGACGUGCUAAUCUGCGAAAAGCGUCGGUAAGGUGAUAUGAACCGUUAUAGCCGGCGAUGUCCGAAUGGGGAAACCCAGUGCAAUUCGUUGCACUAUCGUUAACUGAAUACAUAGGUUAACGAGGCGAACCGGGGGAACUGAAACAUCUAAGUACCCCGAGGAAAAGAAAUCAACCGAGAUUCCCCCAGUAGCGGCGAGCGAACGGGGAGCAGCCCGGAGUCUGAAUCAGCUUGUGUGUUAGUGGAAGCGUCUGGAAAGUCGCAGGGUACAGGGUGAUACUCCCGUACACUAAAACACACAGGCUGUGAACUCGAAGAGUAGGGCGGGACACGUGGUAUCCUGUCUGAAUAUGGGGGGACCAUCCUCCAAGGCUAAAUACUCCUGACUGACCGAUAGUGAACCAGUACCGUGAGGGAAAGGCGAAAAGAACCCCGGCGAGGGGAGUGAAAAAGAACCUGAAACCGUGUACGUACAAGCAGUAGGAGCCCACUAGUUGGGUGACUGCGUACCUUUUGUAUAAUGGGUCAGCGACUUAUAUUCUGUAGCAAGGUUAACCGUAUAGGGGAGCCGCAGGGAAACCGAGUCUUAACUGGGCGUUAAGUUGCAGGGUAUAGACCCGAAACCCGGUGAUCUAGCCAUGGGCAGGUUGAAGGUUGGGUAACACUAACUGGAGGACCGAACCGACUAAUGUUGAAAAAUUAGCGGAUGACUUGUGGCUGGGGGUGAAAGGCCAAUCAAACCGGGAGAUAGCUGGUUCUCCCCGAAAGCUAUUUAGGUAGCGCCUCGUGAAUUCAUCUUCGGGGGUAGAGCACUGUUUCGGCUAGGGGGUCAUCCCGACUUACCAACCCGAUGCAAACUACGAAUACCGAAGAAUGUUAUCACGGGAGACACACGGCGGGUGCUAACGUCCGUCGUGAAGAGGGAAACAACCCAGACCGCCAGCUAAGGUCCCAAAGUCAUGGUUAAGUGGGAAACGAUGUGGGAAGGCCCAGACAGCCAGGAUGUUGGCUUAGAAGCAGCCAUCAUUUAAAGAAAGCGUAAUAGCUCACUGGUCGAGUCGGCCUGCGCGGAAGAUGUAACGGGGCUAAACCAUGCACCGAAGCUGCGGCAGCGACACUAUGUGUUGUUGGGUAGGGGAGCGUUCUGUAAGCCGUUGAAGGUGGCCUGUGAGGGUUGCUGGAGGUAUCAGAAGUGCGAAUGCUGACAUAAGUAACGAUAAUGCGGGUGAAAAACCCGCACGCCGGAAGACCAAGGGUUCCUGUCCAACGUUAAUCGGGGCAGGGUGAGUCGACCCCUAAGGCGAGGCCGAAAGGCGUAGUCGAUGGGAAACAGGUUAAUAUUCCUGUACUUGGUGUUACUGCGAAGGGGGGACGGAGAAGGCUAUGUUGGCCGGGCGACGGUUGUCCCGGUUUAAGCAUGUAGGCGGAUGUUCCAGGUAAAUCCGGAACGUCACUAACGCUGAGGUGUGAUGACGAGGCACUACGGUGCUGAAGUGACAAAUGCCCUGCUUCCAGGAAAAGCCUCUAAGCAUCAGGUAACAUCAAAUCGUACCCCAAACCGACACAGGUGGUCAGGUAGAGAAUACCAAGGCGCUUGAGAGAACUCGGGUGAAGGAACUAGGCAAAAUGGUGCCGUAACUUCGGGAGAAGGCACGCUGAUGGUAAGUGAAGUGACUUGCUCAUGGAGCUGAAAUCAGUCGAAGAUACCAGCUGGCUGCAACUGUUUAUUAAAAACACAGCACUGUGCAAACACGAAAGUGGACGUAUACGGUGUGACGCCUGCCCGGUGCCGGAAGGUUAAUUGAUGGGGUUAUCCUCACGGAGAAGCUCUUGAUCGAAGCCCCGGUAAACGGCGGCCGUAACUAUAACGGUCCUAAGGUAGCGAAAUUCCUUGUCGGGUAAGUUCCGACCUGCACGAAUGGCGUAAUGAUGGCCAGGCUGUCUCCACCCGAGACUCAGUGAAAUUGAACUCGCUGUGAAGAUGCAGUGUACCCGCGGCAAGACGGAAAGACCCCGUGAACCUUUACUAUAGCUUGACACUGAACACUGGUCCUUGAUGUGUAGGAUAGGUGGGAGGCUUUGAAGUGUGGACGCCAGUCUGCAUGGAGCCGUCCUUGAAAUACCACCCUUUAAUGGCUGGUGUUCUAACGUGGGCCCGUGAUCCGGGUUGCGGACAGUGUCUGGUGGGUAGUUUGACUGGGGCGGUCUCCUCCUAAAGAGUAACGGAGGAGCACGAAGGUCAGCUAAUCCUGGUCGGACAUCAGGAGGUUAGUGCAAUGGCAUAAGCUGGCUUGACUGCGAGCGUGACGGCGCGAGCAGGUGCGAAAGCAGGUCAUAGUGAUCCGGUGGUUCUGAAUGGAAGGGCCAUCGCUCAACGGAUAAAAGGUACUCCGGGGAUAACAGGCUGAUACCGCCCAAGAGUUCAUAUCGACGGCGGUGUUUGGCACCUCGAUGUCGGCUCAUCACAUCCUGGGGCUGAAGUAGGUCCCAAGGGUAUGGCUGUUCGCCAUUUAAAGUGGUACGCGAGCUGGGUUUAGAACGUCGUGAGACAGUUCGGUCCCUAUCUGCCGUGGGCGCUGGAGAAUUGAGGGGGGCUGCUCCUAGUACGAGAGGACCGGAGUGGACGCAUCACUGGUGUUCGGGUUGUCAUGCCAAUGGCAUUGCCCGGUAGCUAAAUGCGGAAGAGAUAAGUGCUGAAAGCAUCUAAGCACGAAACUUGCCCCGAGAUGAGUUCUCCCUGACUCCUUGAGAGUCCUGAAGGAACGUUGAAGACGACGACGUUGAUAGGCCGGGUGUGUAAGCGCAGCGAUGCGUUGAGCUAACCGGUACUAAUGAACCGUGAGGCUUAACCUUACAACGCCGAAG
rnacentral:rRNA from 13 species